UCCGGGCAUAUGAUGAAAACUACUGUGAAAAUGGGUAAUUUGCGUCUGAAUUCAAUCUUGAUGCGAAAUUCACCUUGGAGACCUGAUGCCCUCA